UUUUUCUUUUCUUUCUUUUUUUUUUCUUUUGGUGUAACAGUAUCGCAUGAGCCAAGACUGUCAUGAAACUAUUUGGAUACUGUACUCUGGUUCCUUCAUCUCCUCCAUCUGCAUCAGCCUAAAUUGUCCUAGAGCCUCUGCCAUGAACCCGGGGAUAAGUGAGGAAAGAAAUUUUUCCUCCUUCACAGUAUCAAGUGCCAGGCCAGGGCACUUUGUCCAGGGCUCACUGUGAAGAAAGAGUAAUGUUCAAGGAUGGCAGCAGGAAGGACCCUAAUGAAGAGGUUUAUCUGAUUGGUUUACCGGAGUCCUAUGUGGGAUGAAUAGCUUCAGCCUUUGCGCUUGCACCUCUUUGCUGUCCACUCCAAUCAAGAACUGGGGCCCCCGCAACUCUCUCAGUUCUGAAACAAAUUAAAUCUCAGUGACAGACUU
rnacentral:antisense_RNA from 1 species